GAUGAACGCUGGCGGCGUGCCUAAUACAUGCAAGUCGAGCGAACGGACGAGAAGCUUGCUUCUCUGAUGUUAGCGGCGGACGGGUGAGUAACACGUGGAUAACCUACCUAUAAGACUGGGAUAACUUCGGGAAACCGGAGCUAAUACCGGAUAAUAUUUUGAACCGCAUGGUUCAAAAGUGAAAGACGGUCUUGCUGUCACUUAUAGAUGGAUCCGCGCUGCAUUAGCUAGGUGGUAAGGUAACGGCUUACCAAGGCAACGAUGCCUAGCCGACCUGAGAGCGUGAUCGGCCACACUGGAACUGAGACACGGUCCAGACUCCUACGGGCGGCAGCAGUAGGGAAUCUUCCGCACUGGGCGAAAGCCUGACGGAGCAACGCCGCGUGGGUGCUGCAGGUCUUCGGAUCGUAAAACUCUGUUAUUAGGGAAGACCAUAUGUGUAAGUAACUGUGCACAUCUUGACGGUACCUAAUCAGAAAGCCACGGCUAACUACGUG
rnacentral:rRNA from 1 species